rfam:Dipodomys ordii ctg_broad_rename0000467, whole genome shotgun sequence.
GGGAAGUUGGCUCAGUGGUAGAGUGCUUGCCUUGAAUGCAUGAGGCCCUGAGUUCGAUUCUUUAGCACCACA